CGGUUUUCCAUCUGCUUGUUCCUAACCACAGGCUGGGGGUGUCACCUCUUGCCUUGCUAAUGUAACAGUGGCACCAGGAUACCAUGCAGCAAAAGGCUUAGGGUGGCAGUUGUUGCUGUACUGCAACCCAAAAAGUGAGCAUGGAGAUUUCCCAUUGACAGACAUGAUAUGAGAGGAAACUCAUCCCUCUUUUCCCAAAGACAGUACCUGCUUUUUGCAAUUCCGAAAGAGGGGGUUUCUUCCAGCCCAACAGCAGCUAGUCAAUACAUACUUUCACAAACAGCAUGAACUGAGCAAAGUGCGUGUUUAAUAUCUGGAGAAUGAUUUAUAAGGUGCAUUACAGAAAAGUUUUCAACAAGUCUGAAUUCUCUAUUAAAAGCUGCUUGCUUCAUUACAGAGUUACCAAAAUAGGCAAAGAAAAUAUUCCCUGCUUAUCCCAAGACUCCUUAACUCCUGACAAUUUUAAUAAAUCAAGGAACAUUUGGAAUUAUUUCUGCACAGCUUCAGCCUUAAGUUCACAGACUGCUCCUAGGACUGGACAUAUUUCUCCACCCAUGUGACCUCUGUGAGAAACAGCAGAGCAAAUUUCCAAACCAAUUCUCUCAUCUUAUCUACCACAUCCCUUUGUCUCCUCUACAGUCUAUAAGGGUAAAAGUCUUUCUUCCAGUGUCUGAGAUGCAGUUUCUUAUCCCCCAGCAUCUGUCUACUCCUCAGCAUCAGAUCCUUUCUCCUUGUCAAGCAUGCUUUCAUAGCAGCCACAUGUGCUUAGAGCUCAUACAGCAGCUUGGACACAGUGGUCUGCUUUGAUUUCCUCACUCAACAGGAAGAGACAUCUGGAUCUGCAAUGGGGGAAAAAAAGCCAAGCAACUACUUUUUGGAACAUCAAAGGAAGAUAUGAUUUUAACAUUUAGCACAUCUCCAAACUAGCUAUUUUUGCCCCAGGUACAAUCUUCACUGACUCUGUCAUCCCUGUGUUGCUGUACACCAAGCCACAAUACAUUUGGAGAGAGAGGUAUUUAUUUUCCAUCCCCUAAAUGAACAGUGGAAGUGCAGCUUGCUGGAUGCCAGAAGGGAGUUGGGAGCAUUUGAGCCCAAGAUUCAGGAGUGUAUCUGUCUCCAUGUAUUGGGUAGGAUAUAAUUUGAUCUGUACAGUCAAUUCACUGUAACAGAGCAUGGAUUGCAAUUUUUUCCACCUACAAAAGCAAGAUUUAAUACUGCUAGGUCCUGGCAUGCCUGAGCAUCUCAAAACAUGUGUUAAAGGUCCAUAAGAGUUAAGCAGAUGCCCACCUAACAGUAUGGGUAUUUUCCACAAAGCUCAAGGUCUUUCAUUUGUGGAAUGGUACAGGCAUGCUGAUGGCAAACUUUGAUUAUCCCUAAUCCUCUUUUGUCUGCAGGGGAAUAAAUCAGAAGGAACGUGAGACA
rnacentral:lncRNA from 1 species